rnacentral:rRNA from 1 species
GUGCCAGCCGCCGCGGUAAUACGGAGGAUGCAAGCGUUAUCCGGAUUUAUUGGGUUUAAAGGGUGCGUAGGCGGUAUUACAAGUCAGGGGUGAAAUCUUGGUGCUUAACAUUAAAAUUGCCUUUGAAACUGUGGUACUUGAGUGUAAAAGAGGUAGGCGGAUGUGUUGUGUAGCGGUGAAAUGCAUAGAUAUAACACAGAACCCCGAUUGCGAAGGCAGCUUACUAUCAUACAACUGACGCUGAUGCACGAAAGCGUGGGGAUCAAACAGGAUUAGAUACCCUGGUAGUCCACGCAGUAAACGAUGAUUACUAGCUGUUAGCGAUAUACUGAUAGUGGCUAAGCGAAAGCGAUAAGUAAUCCACCUGGGGAGUACGUUCGCAAGAAUGAAACUCAAAUAAAUUGGCGG